UUUUUUUUUUUCCAAGCCUAACUGUAACCAGCUUUAUUAAAGAUUCUUUUAAUAAACAAUCAUGGUAUUUCAGGCAGGACAUGGGCAGACAAUCAACAAUAUACAAGAACUUCCAAAUUCCCUUCUUGUAUAGACUACCAAAAUCAGAAAGCCACUAUAAAACCCAAUGAAGUCUUCAUUCAAUGCUUUGAAAAGGGGGAAGUAGCUUAGAGUGAGGGUUGACAUUUCACAUUAAGGAUGUUGUUUUAACAACUUUUCACAAGCCGACCCUGACUUUUAGGCAGAAUUAUCAAUCUGAAGAUCCACAAUCUUUUAUAAAAGGAACCAGUGCUCUUCUGAGAACACUCAAUGAAGUCACUGCAAAGUCCCCAUCACUCAAUGGACUGGGAAACCAAUUUUGGGGGCCAGGUUCCAACAGGUCUCUGGUUUUUAAGGGAAUUAAGUCUAUGUUGAUAGUACAGGGGGAAGAGGAUAUAAAAGUGAAUUUAUAGUUUUCCCAGACCACAAGGCAUUGUUGUGCCUUGGUGGCCACCUAGGUCAAGACCAGGAUCUCUCUCCUGGGAGCCAACAGGAGCCUUCCAAAAUUAUCAGGGAAAGAGGUUUUCUGUCCUCAAUCCAGCUUGGGAGAGAUUUUGUUACUGACACAUGAUCCUUCCCCCACCCAGUAAUGAAGUGUUCUGUGUGCUAACAAUAUAGCU
rnacentral:lncRNA from 1 species